GAUGAAGAACGUAGCGAAAUGCGAUAAGUAGUGUGAAUUGCAGAAUUCAGUGAAUCAUCGAAUCUUUGAACUCACAUUGCGCCCCUUGGUAUCCCGAGGGGCAUGCCUGUUCGAGCGUCAUUUCACCACUCAAGCCUGGCUUGGUGUUGGGCGACGUCCUCUUUGGGGACGCGCCUCGAAACGCUCGGCGGCGUGGCACCGGCUUUAAGCGUAGCAGAAUCUUUCGCUUUGGAAGUCGGGGCCCCGUCUGCCGGAAGACCUGCUCGCAAGGUUGACCUCGGAUCAGGCAGGGAUACCCGCUGAACUUAAGCAUAUCAAUAAGCGGAGGA
rnacentral:misc_RNA from 1 species